GGUGGGUUCCUGCCAGCAUUAGAGCCUGCCUUCUCUGCUACCAACAAGCCCGUGGCAGAGAGAAAACGGACCAGCAGCCCACGGAUGCCCAGAAACAGAAUGAUCACAGUCAUCAAGGACCGUAGCACUCCUGACAGAAAACCAGCCCAGGGAGGAAUGACCACGCCGCCUCUUGGAGUGGGUCAGGGGCAGUGCACAAGCUGGGGGAAGCCAAAGUGAGUGUCCCUGGAGCCUGAGAAGGAAGAGGAACUGGAAGGAUCUGGAUUGGCAAGAGGGAAGAGGGGAUCUUCCAGACCCAGGGAUCGAACCCGAGUCUCCCACACUGGCAGGCGAGCUCUUUAUCACUGAGCCAUCACAAGUCCACCAGUAUUUGCCAGCUAACUGGUUUUGCUGUUCAGAGACUUGGCAGUUCUCACUUCAGAACCACGAAGGGCGCUUUUGAAAUAGACACAAAUGUAACAGAGAAAUCUCUCCGAUACUGUCACACCAGCGUGGCCAGCUACUGCCUCCAAGAAAUUACUGAGAUUUCUACACCCAAAGAGAGGAAGGUUCACCUCUUCUGAACUGAAAACAUGCGGCAUUUCUCUUCAGCUUGUCCCUGAGGUGUAAAUGUCAGUCUGUUUCUUGCGUGUUCCCCGGUUGCUUCACUAGGCACUGGAGGCAAGCAGGACAGAAACACAGCACAGAGGAUGCAGGGUGCUGGGUUAAGGCAGAGGCGGAGGCGUGGCUUCCCUUUCUCUCUCUCUGGGGCUUGUUAAGGCCAAAGGAACCGGCAACUCUUCACCCUCUUGAGGAGAAAGGUUGCAGAUGAAGAACAAACAGUUAAAUGCAGAUCAGGCUUUGCAGUGUAGCGCUGAACUCACAAUAGGGCUGGCACACCAAACCACAGCCAUUCCCCCACAGCUCAGCCUGGGCCAACCUGACUCACAAAACUCCCACCUAUCAGAUCACCGACUCAGUCAGGUCCUGCAGAAGAGACACAGCAAAAUAAAUUAAGAGCUCCGG
ensembl:lncRNA